GGUCCCGUAGCUCAACUGGAUAGAGCACCUGACUUCUAAUCAGGUUGUUGGGGGUUCGAGUCCUCCCGGGAUCGCCA
rnacentral:tRNA from 1 species